rnacentral:rRNA from 1 species
AUUGAACGCUGGCGGCAGGCCUAACACAUGCAAGUCGAACGAGUGGCGGACGGGUGAGUAAUGUAUGGGAAACUGCCUGAUGGAGGGGGAUAACUACUGGAAACGGUAGCUAAUACCGCAUACCAUCAGAUGUGCCCAGAUGGGAUUAGCUUGUGGGUGGGGUAAAGGCUAACCAAGGCGACGAUCCCUAGCUGGUCUGGGAGGAUGACCAGCAAAACUUGAACUGAGACACGGUCCAGACUCUGACGGUAGGCAGCAGUGGGGAAUAUUGCACAAUGGGCGCAAGCCUGAUGCAGCCAUGCCGCGUGUAUUAAGAAGGCCUUCGGGUUGUAAAGUACUGUCAUCGGGUAGGCGUUACCCGCAGAAGAAGCACCGGCUAACUCCGUGCCAGCCGCCGCGGUAAUAC